UACGUGAGGGUGCAAGCGUUAAUCGGAAUUACUAGGGCGUAAGCGUGCGCAGGCGGCUUUGCAAGACAGAUAGUGAAAGUCCCCGGGCCUUAACCCUGGGACUGCAUUUGUGACUGCAUAGCGUUAGAGUAACGGUGAGAGGGGGAUGGAAUUCCGCGUGUAGCAGUGAAAUGCGUAGAUAUGCGGAGGAACACCGAUGGCGAAGGCAAUCCCCUGGACCUGUACUGACGCUCAUGCACGAAAG
rnacentral:rRNA from 1 species